rnacentral:lncRNA from 13 species
GUUUUUCUUUCUACCUGAUUUCUCCAAAAAUUGGAAACUAUUUAUGAGUAUUCUUAUUUUAUGGCAAUAUAAUUUAUUUAUAUAAGUUUAGUAAGAAUGAGGUUUUAUUUAUUUAUAACAGGACAUGAUUGGAGACACCAGUUAUUUUGCCAAGGCUUUCACUGGAAUGCCCUAUUUUCACAGGACCAGACUGCUUUGAGGAAAUAAUGUUGACUUUACGGAGCCUAUAAAAAGCCUCUUGGAAAGACUGGCCUAGUACCUUGUCUAUAUGUUUCCCUUACAAGGUUCCUGACCUGUGGUAAGUAAAGAAUGCCAUUUUUUGAAAGAUCCAGGAACAUCGAGAUAUUUGGAGAACUCAGGAAGAGGGGAACUCACCUAGUUCAUGCAGGUAUUGCAAGCACAGUCUGAUGGUGAAUCUUUAGCUUGGCUUUCCAGUCUCAAGGAUUCCUUAUGAAAGUUCUAGCAAAGUCAACUUAAAGGAAGCCUAUUGGCUAAUCACUAUUCUUGUACACUUUAUGCAAAUAAGCAGGCCAAGUAAAGUGAGACUAAAAAUUUUUCCCCAAAUUAAUUAGUCCUACUACAAUUUAUCCUUGGGAGAAAUGGGGAAACUAAAGAGAAAAAUAUAUAUAUAUUUUGGAAGAAAACUAUAGUAGACCCAUUGAUUAUUAGAUUCUAGCCCUAACCAUGGUUUUUUGAGUUUUUAAAUCCUGAAUUGUCUCCUGGCUACAAGAAGGCUCUAAAGAAGUAUUGGGUUUUAACUUUCUUGAUGAUGCUUUUAGUUGGAUCCUUAAUGGACUGGGUUCUUUUCUGUUGCUCUUGUUCUGGCAUACAAAUUCUCUUUUGAUUAUAAUCCUUGUGUGCAUUGUAUGUCUACUAUUCAAAUUAUUAAUGUUAUAUAUCUCUCACCAUUUUACUUCUUCUGAGAAAACCAAAGCCAUGGUAUUCUGAAGACUAAGAAAUGAUUCAACAGAGCUUGUGAGCCUGCCUCAUUUGGAAUCCCACUGGGCCCAUUCUGUUUUCCAAUGCCAACUCACUGCUGCUAAAGGUAUACAAUGUCAAGCAUCCUCCCUAAAGCCUCAGGGACCACCACGGAAGAGGAGGGUACAUUUAAUGACUAACGAGGGGAAAGUCCAACUUACCACAUGUGUGCUCUGCGGACUUCCUUCCUCAGAGUCUGGGCAUUUUCAUCGAUAAAAGAAGGCAACAUUCCUGGCUCAUCUAUCUGGUUGUUGGGAGGCUGAACCACACCACACAUGUGAAUGCACUCAGGAAACCGGAGUUCUACUGAAAUAAAAAAGGAUGUUGCCAAACUUUAAUCA